rnacentral:lncRNA from 1 species
GCUGAACACAAAGAGCUCCCAAGUGUCCUCUCUGCUUCUUUUAAAUGGAUGAACACUCAGAUUGCUCAGAAUGUCCACCUGAACAAUGUACUGCUGGAGCCCAUUGCUGUACACACUAUUUCACAAGACUGGACACCUGUACUACUGAAAGUACAAGUGCUUGCUAAGACAAAACAAGGGGUUUGCUUGGUACAUGGUUGAAGAUGAGAAAACUGCAUACAAAUUCAGGGAAGCAAAAAUGCAAACAUUAAAACUGAAGCACAUAUCUAUUUUAAGACACGGGGCAGUGUGAAAACAACUAAAUGAUGCUUAGCUGCCUGCUGGAUUCAGCCACAACA